CCCUUAGAUGUCCGGGGCCGCACGCGCGCUACACUGAAGGAAUCAGCGUGGCUUUCUCCCUGACCCGAAAGGGUUGGGAAACCCGUUGAAUCUCCUUCGUGAUAGGGAUUGGGGCUUGAAAUUGUUCCCCAUGAACGAGGAACUCCCAGUAAGCGCGAGUCAUAAGCUCGCGUUGAUUACGUCCCUGCCCUUUGUACACACCGCCCGUCGCUACUACCGAUUGAACGGUUUAGUGAGGGCCUCGGAUUGGUCUCGGCCCGCUCUUUACCGGGCGGCGCCGUUGGUCGAGAAGACGCUCGAACUUGAUCGUUUAGAGGAAGUAAAAGUCGUAACA
rnacentral:rRNA from 1 species